CUGCUGGUCAGAACCAACCAAGAAGGUGUCCAGAACCUGGAAACCAAACAAGCUUUGGUCAGAACACAGGAAGGUUCUGCUGCGGUUCUGGACGGGAUAAACCCAGAGUGGGGCCAAAGCAAUGCAAGUUCAGCGGCUGCAUAGGACCCCCAGGCCACCAGGGGGCUAGCAUGAUUAAAACAUAAAUAUUUAAAAUAACGUUAAAUUAUACAAUCAAAAUUUUACUAAACAUGGAAAAAAAAUUCAAUAUUCAUUUUUGUCACAUAAAUAAUAAUUAAUAUCGUCCUGCUGCCUCUUCUGGGGAAAUAUAAGGUCAAACUUUUCAACUUGUUUACUGUAAAUAUAAUGUUUAUCAGCUGAAGUUACUUUAAAAGGUUAAAAUAAUAUGACACUUAAAUACACGACAAAACACAAAAUGUUACUUCUGAUCUGAUUUCUACUUCAAAUAUCUUGAAACCUGAAAUAAAACAAAAAUAACUCAUAACUUUUCAUUCAGAUAUAUAGAGCUUUUUGAAGUCAGUCAUUUCUUAAUGUUGAUGUAAAACUCUGAGCUGGUUGAUUAUUUCAUCUAUAAGAUGGAAAAAUGUUUUAUUAUAAGUGAAAAAAUCCACCAGUGGAACUGAAACUUUUUCAUCCAUAUUAAUGAAUUAUUUACUGGAAAUAAAAUCCUGUUUCUUGUUGAAAAGUUACUUUUAAAUUUGUGUUGUUUUAUUUCACUAGAAGCUGAAGCAUCUGGUGCCGACCUGCUGGUUUGGGCCCCAGAAAGGCUUGGACCGGCCCUGAAUGAGCCUCCGUGGUUCUUCUUCCUCGUCCUGCCGGUGAAUCAGUUUCUGGUGUUUUAUUUUCUGUCUGGGUUAAAGAGGAAGAUGAAGCCGAUUCCAGCCGAACUGCAGAACGAUGAAGACGCCUGGAGUCGAUUUAACUCUGGAGUUCCUCAAGGCUCAGUUCCAGGUUCUGCUCUUCCCACUGGAUCAGGAUGUGAAACAUUAAAGUUCUUGGCUUCGCCGACGACUCAGAUAUUUAUUAGAGUUUGGGCCUGAACCUCUCAGAUGUUCAUCUUUUCCUCUGAGGAAACUUCCAGCUGUGACAUCAGGACUCAGUUUCUCCUGAACGCCUCUCCCCUCUGCAGCACGUUCUGCAGGUCGUACCGGUGGAGAGGAUGAGGAGGCCGAAGACGACCAGGAGGCUCAGCAACGCCGGCCUGCAAGGCGCCAUGAUGCUGCAGCGGCAAAACGACGGAAACAGUCAGACAGCAAACCGAACCUCAGCCUGGAGGGAAUCAGCCUGGAGGGAAUCAGCCUGGAGGGGAGUCAGCCUGGAGGGGAGUCAGCCUGGAGGGAAUCAGCCUGGAGGGGAGUCAGCCUGGAGGGAGUCAGCCUGGAGGGGAGUCAGCCUGGAGGGGAGUCAGCCUGGAGGGAGUCAGCCUGGAAGGACCUCAGCUGAUGAAGACGAAGACGAUGAAGCCGAGUUUGGUUUUUAUCAGGUCAGCUCCUCCCACAGAGGAGGAGACUUCAUGAUGCAGCCGCUGAACUUUGACCCUAUAUGGCCUGGUGUAUGUAAAUAUCUGACCUUUGAAAUGGGACUUUAAAAAAAUCCACAAUAAAUUCAAACUUUUCAUUUU